ensembl:lncRNA
GUCAGAGAUCAGUCAGUCAGAGAUCAAUCAGUCAGUCAGCAAUCAGUCAGUCAGAGAUCAGUCAGUCAGUCAGAGAUCAAUCAGUCAGUCAGAGAUCAAUCAGUCAGUCAGAGAUCAAUCAGUCAGUCAGAGAUCAAUCAGUCAGUCAGAGAUCAAUCAGUCAGUCAGAGAUCAAUCAGAGAUCGAUCAGCAGAGAGUCCAGCUGCAGUGUUUCUCACCUGCUUCAUCGCUGCUGGUCCAGAUGAGUGCUGAGGCUCCGCCCCCUUACCAUCCUCACCUGUCCGACGCCGCCGCUUCCCCUCCAGCUCUCAGCUGCUUCCCCGGCUCCUCGUACCAGACCUUCCCUCAGACCUUCCACACCCACUACCACGGAGAUCCAGGCCUCACAGCGCCGGGGUACCAGGACGGCCCGGUCGGACCCCCUAAACACACCGUUUACGUCGUGGAGCAACAUCACCAUGACGACGGUGGCGGCGGUGACUCGUGUCUGGCGGUUCUCUGCUGCUGCUUCCUGUGGAACCUUCUGACCGCCCACCACUGACCCUC